rnacentral:lncRNA from 1 species
AUGGGAGCACAACCAAUCAAAAGGCAUUCUUCCUGGUCUUUCGUGUACAUCUGGAGCAAGGCCAGUCUUCUUCAGAACAUCAAGAACCUGGGAAGAAGACCUACAAUCUGGACCUUGGAAAUGUCUGGCACAUGGAAUAGCAGGCUGAGGCCACCCGAAGUGAGACAUCACCUCCUGUCCUUACCACCAUACCUGCCUAGCUGUCGUUGUGGUGAGGUGCCAACAUGGAGCAUGUUUAUUCAGGGCAAGGGGACAUUCAGUACCACCACAGGGCAGCGUGAAGGAAAAAGUAAGCUCCAGAAGGAGAAGGAAGGUUUUUGUCUCUCAGAAAUGACAUGGCCCAUCUGCCUGGAAGAGGGUCCUGUUUUCACUCCUCACAUUCCUGACUUUUCAAGGAAAGACUGGCUUGAGAAGAAAUUUUUUGAUGUGGCCAAAAACAGCGCUCUUUGUGAAAGAAUAAACAGGCCUCUUUUCUUGGCAGAGUCUUGCUGUGUAGUCCAGACUGGCCCUGAACUCUGAUUUACCCUCUGCCUCAGCUUCCCAAGCUUCAUACAUAUGAAGUUUUCCAGGUACAGGAGGAGGAGGAGGAAGAGGAGGAGGAGGAAGAGGAAGAGGAGGAGGAGAAAGAGGAAGAGGAGGAGAACUUAAGCCAUGUAGAGGGUAGGCUUAAAAAAAUCCACUGUGUCAUGAGAAGAAUGAAGAAAGAUCUCUAGAGUAGCCUGGUGAGAACUACAUUAUUUAUUUCUAAAUAAAUAUUAAAUGUCUGUUAUGUUCUGAGCACUGUCAUACAAUGUGCUGGUGUAACAGGAUAGACAGAUUGAUUGAUUUGGUCUUGAUCCCCGUUUUUGGC